AAAAAGAAAGGGGGACCAGAAAAAAGCCGCUAACUUUAAUUUUUAGCGGUUAAACUCCGUUACUUUC
rnacentral:tRNA from 1 species